rnacentral:rRNA from 1 species
GGGCCCGCACAAGCGGUGGAGUAUGUGGUUUAAUUCGAUGCAACGCGAAGAACCUUACCAGGGUUUGACAUCCUGCGAAUCUCUUGGAAACAGGAGAGUGCCUUCGGGAACGCAGUGACAGGUGGUGCAUGGCUGUCGUCAGCUCGUGUCGUGAGAUGUUGGGUUAAGUCCCGCAACGAGCGCAACCCACGUCUUUAGUUGCCAGCAUUUAGUUGGGCACUCUAGAGAGACUGCCGGUGAUAAACCGGAGGAAGGUGGGGAUGACGUCAAGUCCUCAUGGCCCUUAUGUCCAGGGCUACACACGUGCUACAAUGGUUGGUACAAUGCGCAGCGAACCAGCGAUGGUAAGCGAAUCGCAAAAAGCCAAUCUCAGUUCGGAUUGGAGUCUGCAACUCGACUCCAUGAAGUCGGAAUCGCUAGUAAUCGU